UGGGCUAUAGUGUAGUGGUUAGCACACAACACUUUGACUGUUGUAGUCUAGGUUCGAAUCCUAGUAGCCCAA
rnacentral:tRNA from 1 species